CUGACCUGAAAGUUCAGGGUACGUUGGGGCGUGGGAUCAUUAUGGUCACAGAUUUGUCAGGUAGGGCAGACUUGGAGGAAGUUGGUCAGGAGAGGGAAGAGAAUGAAAGAGCAGCUGGAGAAACAGAAGGACGACACAGGGGACACAAGCAGGGGAGGAUGGCCAGUCCCCACGGAUGCCUUGACUCCUUAGCUUGCUGAGACAGUUGCAGUGCAAUCUGGGAGAACCGUUAUCCAACCAUCUACCAACCCCCAGGAAGUGCAACAAACUCAGAAUCUGCUCACAGGGAAAACAGCAGAAGGAAAAUAUAGGAAGAGUUUACAUACAGGACUUCAAAUGUUUUAGACCGUGGAACUGCAGGAUGCUAUGUCACAGACACCUGUCAGUAUGUUUCUUUCAAGUGAUGGGUAUGGAACAUCCAACUAUUGUUAUGAAGGAGUUGCUAGAAUGACUGCAAUUGCAAUUGUAUACACCUGAUGGGAACUAGACGGAUAUACCCUGAAUUAGAGGCUGGAGGAAUCUACAUGGAGUGGCUUCAGAUCCUGGAGAUUCCAACAUUUAAUUAACCCAACUCUGAAGAAUUUCUGAGGAUGAAGAGGUGGAAAAGAAGUUUGAAGAAACAGAUUGAUUCUACUGUUAGCUCUGCCAUCACUUCGACCAGUUCUUUUUUUUCUCAACUAUAUUUUUCCUUCUCUUGAGUGUGUCAAAGUACUGCCUAGCUGCAGCCCAAGAAUUGGCAUUUCCCUUCUAGGCUGUCUUUAUGGCACUCAUUUUAAGUGGGAGAACCCCUUCUGAAAACGUGUUAGAAUUCAUUAUAACUUUUCCUGUCUCUCGCAGGUAGAGAAAACUUUUGAGGUUAGAAUCCACAUUUCUUUGAUCUCUAGUGACCAGUGCUAAGCAGAGUGCUUUGCUCAUGGUGAGUGAUCAGUGAUUCUUUAUUUAACUGAAUUUUACUAUGAGGAUAAAACCAAAUGGAAAACAUGUAUAAAGUGGUUUAUAAAGUGUGAAUAUAUAUGUGUAUAUACACACAUAUAUAAAAAACUAAGUCAUUAUCAGUAAAGUUAAUCUUACUUUCUUAUCCUCCUUCCACUUAUUCUAUAAAUAUUUACUCUCUGAGGUGGUGAGCAGAGGAUAAUUAGAGAAAAUAAAUCUGUUUGGGCAACAGCAAACAUCA